UUCAUCUGGCUUGAGUUCAACCUUAGGAACAAGGCUUGAGACUUGGAGUUGUGCUCACUUUGGAACUGAACCAGCAAUGGAGAGGAGCCGAUGCUGGCCAGAACAUGAGUCCUAUGCUCUGGGGAUGAUGAUUUUGGGCGGUUAUAAGUAGCUGGAAGCGUGAAGACUCAGCACCCAGGCCUCUCCGUAAGCCUGUGUAUUGGAGAUUCACAGGAAUGUUCCUGAAAGGCACACUCAGACGUGAGAGGCAGAUGGAUGUGUCCCAGGAGUCAUGAAAAGAUGGUUUAUAAAAUCAGUCCCUCCGUUUUACAUACAGAAGACAAUGAAGAACUCUUCAGACUUAGAAGGCAAAUACUGACACAUUCAUGAAUGCCGGAAUAUCAAUAAAUGGAAAUAAA
rnacentral:lncRNA from 1 species